GCUGGCGUAGCUCAAUGGCAGAGCAGCUGAUUUGUAAUCAGCAGGUUGCGGGUUCAAGUCCCAUCGCCAGCU
rnacentral:tRNA from 1 species